AGGCCCUACCCCCACCCCCCCCCCCGCUGGGAGCGCCAGAGGUGACCUCGGCCUAGCGCUCCUGCUCCGGGCGGGGCCGGCGGCGGCGCCUCCAGGCCGUGGGCGCCAGUGGCCUGCUAGCGCCGGAAGGGCCGGGCCUGCGCGCUCCAGGGACUUGCGGGCCGACGGCGCGGGCGCGGGCCCGGCGGGAGGGGCUACGGCUGAUCUGUUUUUCGUUUCCUCUUACACCCGUUCUCAGUGUCCUCCUGAACACCGGAAGGUGCAGCGGCAGGGCUACGGACAGACCCACCCACUCUGCCCCUCUGUUGUGUGGCCACGAGGACGCCCAUUCCUCUCUGGACUCCACCCAUUAAAGCGGUUUCAGGCUCUUCGGCUCUAGAUGCAGAGCUUCUCAGGGUUGGCUGGAAGCCACAGCCCAGCCUCCUGAUGCAGUCUGAAUCCAGCCGGUGUGAAGAGGAAACUCCUUCCCUCUCGUGGGGUUUGGAUCCUGUGUUUCUAGCCUUCGCCAAACUCUACAUCAGGGAUAUCCUGGACUUGAAGGAGUCCCACCAGGUGCCAGGUAUAUUUUUUUACAGUGGGCAUCCAAUAAAACAGGUAGAUAUCUUGGGAACUGUAAUUGGAGUGAGAGAAAGAGAUGCUUUCUACAUUUGUGGAGUGGAUGAUAGCACUGGAGUUAUAAACUGCAUCUGCUGGAAGAAAUUGAAUAAUACCAAAUCCUCAUCAGCUGCUCCGAGUGCAAGAGAGCUGAGCUUAACCUCACAGCUUAAGAAGCUGCAAGAGACCAUUGCACAGAGGACAAAGGUAGAAAUUGGGGACAUUAUCCGGAUCAGAGGUCACAUCCGCAUGUACAGAGGAGAGCGAGAAAUUUACGCUACUGCUUAUUAUAAAGUGGAUGAUCCAGUGUGCAACAUUCAGAUCGCAAGGAUGCUUGAGCUGCCCACCAUCUACAGGAAAGUUUAUGACCAGCCCUUCCGCAGCCCAGCCCUAGAGAAAGAAGAGGCACUGAGCAGCAAUCCAGGCACCCUGGACCUUGACAGUCUCACGUAUCUGCUGAGUGAAAAAGUCAAAGAAUUCCUUGUGGAGAACAGAGUGCAAACCUUUUACCAGCAGGAGUUGGAAGCGGUGGAGUCCCUGCUGUCCCUUGCCAACCAGCCUGUGAUUCACAGCGACUGCUCCGGGCGAAUGGAUUUUAAGAAUGACACCACUUCCAAGGCAAUUCAUAGUAUAUUUAGGAACGCUAUAAAGCUGCUGCAGGAAGAAGGACUUGUUUUCCAGAAAGAUGGUGGUUUUGAUAACCUGUUCUAUGUAACCAGAGAAGACAAAGAAUUACACAGAAAGAUCCACCAGAUCAUUCAAGAAGACUGCCAGAAACCAAACCCAACAGAAGAACUAUGAGAAGUUGAGGGAAGCUCUUGGAAAACUCUCCGGGGCUACAGUUGGGUCACCGCUCAUGUACCAAAGAGCAACCAAGGGGUUCGCCUGAAAAGGAGGGAAGCUGAGCAGACAUCCUCCCCCUCUCUCGGGCGGGCAUCCCAAGGAAGAGCACACCCCAGACGGAAGCCGCAUGGCCAUUUUGUGCAGAGCCCCAGAAGCCGCACAGUGUCACUUCCAUGGCAUUCUGAUUGUCAGGGCUGUCGCAGAGUCACAAGCCCACCCACACUUUGUGAGGUCAACAGUCUUCAUCAGUGUGCAUCUGGUAGGUAAAAACAAUUCCUGGGUUUUGUUUACAUUUUUACGUCUUUAGGUAUGAGUGGCGUCAAGCAUCAGUUCAUUCCAGGCAACAUUUAGACAGAUGCAUUAUGCCCUGGACGUUAGCCAUUGCUUCCAGCAGAGGCUGAGAGAGGCCCGGGUCGUAUGUUCUAGCAGCGGUGUCAGCUGCAGAAACAGUCCAAGGCCGGACACUGAGGUCCUAGCUAAUACACAGCUGGAAUAAACAUCCUGAAGAACUCAAACCUCAGUGUUCCCAAUUUGCUACUUCAAGUGCUUGGACACAUGCCUGCCCAAAUGUUAUAUAAUACACGAAGGCAGCAAUCUUUUAAAAACCAAUCACCAUAUUAUGAACUGAGACCUCUCAUAAACCAGACGCCAUUCAGCUCUGGUUCAGUGACUCUGUCCCCAGCCAGAUAAAUGUGAAAAACUAAGCAUGUUUUUAAGAAAGUGCUAAUUAAGUGGAGAAGAUAGUUUUCGUAAUAGAAAUGGUCUUAAUGCUGCUUCCACUUUAAUCAGCAUAGCCUAAUUAUCAUAAUAAGGCAAUGCUUGCAUUUUCGUCAUUGACUGGGGUUUGGUACAGUUAAUUGGGCAACACCCAUUUUGGUAAUCUUCUUGGCUAGAAAUUGCAUCCUCAGGGAGAAGCUUUUUCAUUUUUGUUCUGAGGACAAAUCAGUGAAUGGAGGAAGUAAAGUAGGGGUGAGGACAGAGCAUCCUUCCAUUGUUUUCAGCUCUACUUUAGAGCAAAGCAACAGCAGUGUCACAUAAGCUGUGAUACGGGGCACAGUUAACUUGUGAUAAGUACUGAGUUUUCUCAUGUACUGAAAUUUGUGAAUGAUUAGUCUAUUCUAAUAUAAAUUUGGUGGCAGAAUAAUAUAUUGAGCUGUUAGCAUGGGAUUUGUUUUUCCUGUCUUUUACUUCUUCCGAGCAAGAGGCCAGCCUUGCCUCCGGGAGGUUUGGUUUGGAGGCCAAAUCCAGAAGUUGUUUGUGCAGACAAGCUGACUUAUGUUUUCUGGAAGCCUGGAGCCUGGGAGGGAUUGGAGAUUAGUGGGCUCCAGGCAUUGCAGACCAGAAUGUGCUGCCCAUGGUGCCUGCAGCAGGUGGCAGGUUGGCAGGACUUCUGUGGAGAGGUUCUGCAGUGUCUCUUGCAGACUUAAAGCUUUGGCCUGUGAUCCCCAGCUUCAGCUGAGAUUCCCAAGCUUGGAACGGAAGCUUCUGCAAGCCUCCUUCUCUAAAGGGACACACUGGGGAUAUCAGCAGAAGACUGGGUCUCAGAAGAGUGGACACAUCACCUAUUUUCCAGGCACCACGUACCUUCUUAUGUGAUGGUUUUUCACGCAUCUCUAGAGAAGGGGAGAGCCUGCCCCACCCAACUACUACCAAAAUUAUUUUCUUUCCAGCACAGAGAAUGAAGGCGCCAAGCCCCAGCUAACUUGAAAUAAAAAAAGGAAUAUGAUGUCUCACCCAUCUGAGUUUUGGGAGUAGGAUUCAUAUCACUACAGUUAGAAUCAAGUCAAGGUGAAUUUUUGAACAAGGUCACAUUCCCACCCACUUGCAUUCCAGAAUGGUCUCUUAGUGGUAAAGAAAGGUACAGUGUCAUGGUAAGGUUCCAGGGAAAUUGCUCAUGACCCUCCCACAGAGCACACUAC